AACGCGAAGAACCUUACCAGGGCUUGACAUCCCACUAACGAAGCAGAGAUGCAUUAGGUGCCCUUCGGGGAAAGUGGAGACAGGUGGUGCAUGGUUGUCGUCAGCUCGUGUCGUGAGAUGUUGGGUUAAGUCCCGCAACGAGCGCAACCCUUAUUGCUAGUUGCUACGCAAGAGCACUCUAGCGAGACUGCCGUUGACAAAACGGAGGAAGGUGGGGACGACGUCAAAUCAUCAUGCCCCUUAUGUCCUGGGCUACACACGUAGUACAAUGGCGUUUAACAACGGGAAGCAAUACAGCGAUGUGGAGCAAAUCCCCAAAAGGCGUCUCAGUUCGGAUCGCAGGCUGCAACCCGCCUGCGUGAAGUCGGAAUUGCUAGUAAUCGCGGAUCAGCAUGCCGCGGUGAAUACGUUCCCGGGUCUUGUACACACCG
rnacentral:rRNA from 1 species